GUGAAUGUUUUUACCAUGUUAAUCACCUGUUCCCAUUUGAAUGCAGAAGUUAAGCAGCAUUGAGCUUGGUUAAUACUUGGAUGGAUGACCUGAGAAUUGCAGAUGUUUCUCAUC
rnacentral:rRNA from 1 species